UGAGGCCUUAAAAAGCUAAUCCGAUGCUGUUAGAGGAAAUUAUUGAUUUAAGAAUCUCUUAUAACCUUCUGUGUCCUUCCACUUGAGGCAGUAGUAUCGUGCCAUGAAUAUAUUUUUUUAUGAAAUUCUCUAAAUUGGAUUUUAUUUCACAUCAUUAUUUAUAAUUACUGAAAAAUAGUUGAAGAAAUAUAUUUAUGCUUUUCUUUUAGCAUG
rnacentral:lncRNA from 1 species